UCAUGUUAAGUAGAAGAGGCUUCAUUUUAUUUUAACUUAAUCUGGUCAGUGUUCAAUGUAGCUGUCACAAGGACAGCAAAGCACCUUGAAUGGAAGCUACACCAAGGCCAUCUGCAGACUCUUGUAAAGCGGAUGUAAUCAGCUGAGGAUAAUCAAGACUUUGUGUUGCUUUGAAAGAUAUGCUUCUCGUGCCGUGCCACAUUAGCCAGGGAAUCGCAGAAGACAGCAAGUGUGUCAUCUGUCUCCCCCCUUCUAAGGGUGAAAUUCUCUGCUGCAGCAACAAAACAACACUCUGAUGAAUGCCAGGAAACCAAAAGACCCAAAGGUCUCAAAAGAAAGAGCGACAGGUGCUAAAAAAGUCACUUUCAAUGCAGCAGGAAGAGAAGAAAGGGCCGUCUCUAAAUCUAAGCCAUCCCCAGGUGCUCCAACUGCUGGUGGUUACUCACCUCCCAAGCUUCAGAUGGGCAUAGAAACCACAGGAGCUUCAGAAGCCACAACUUCUAAACCAGCCUCCGUCAGCUUGAGAGGCCUUCUAGCCGCCCAGCGACUCACUAAGGAAUUUAAGAACUGAGCCAUUAUGAAAAACAAGUCAAGACUCCAAAUCUCUCGUCACAAGCCCAUCACCAUCAUCAAUGAGAAGAGCCUGUUGAGAAGCGGAGAAACCCAUCUUCCUUUACCAUGAACAAAGAGAGAAGAGUUAGCAGCAGAAGGGCCAGACCAGCUGGGCAGAGUUGUGCCCCAUCGUGUUCCAGAUGUGCUGAAACACCGAGGCAUAUUGGGGUGGAAUUUAAAGUACAGUUCCAGUUUUAACUGUCCCAUUCUUUGCUAACUCGAAGUUAUACCCCUGCAUUUUCAAAGAGUUGCACUGGGUACAUCGAUACUGCAGCUGGGAGCAGGCUUCCCUGCUCAGAUACGGACAUGGACACACACACACGCGCGCGAUUUGCUCAAGCUUGCAUACUAAGCAUAAGUGUAGUUGGGGGUACCACAGGCAGUGGUUCAGGCUAACUGUCUGAGCGCAUAGCCAGGAUUCUGGGUGGAUUUGUCCUCAGCUGGCUAGCCCAAGUCUCCCCCUGUGCUACCCAUGGCUACAAGGGUAUUUUUUGCAUGUUAGCUUGAGAAGAGCUAGAGUAUCUGCCUAGCCUACCGAAGUAGGGAAGCAUGCUCCCAGCUGCAGUGUAGACAUACCCACAGACGUUUAGCAAAACCUCUAGAUUUUCAAAGCUUAGUGCGUGUGAACAAGUCUUCGAAAAUUUGGCUCGUAAUGGUCUGAGAUGAUGCCUUCCCUUGUGUUCCUAGCUAGGGCCAAAGUACGCCAGCUACUGAAGAAUCGAUCUCAGGCUUUAUGAAACCCAACAUAUGUUGGGACAGGACUUAGGCAGUCAGCAUUGGGUAGAAGUCCUACUAGCAAGGACAGGUUCACAGAACUUCCUCAUCUACCAUAAUAGUAUAGUGGUGGCCUCCAAGAUGGUUAAAACGUGGUUUGAUAUUCCAGUGCAGACCUAACCAGGUUUUAACCAUGUGAAUGAAUUGGGCAAAAGCCCUGGAUAUAUCUUAGCAUUUACGUAUGCUGGGGAACCAGAACCACAUUUUGUGUUGUGGGGAUGACUGUAUGGUGAGCCAGCACACUGACCCAGUUCCGUUAAUAUGCAUGCAUGGGUUAAUUCUAGACUCCCAGUAAUUGGAGUCAACUCUCAUUGACUUGACUGGAAAUUGACUGGUUAAACCCCAUGUAGCUCUUUGAAAAUGCAGAGAUUCAUAUUGUUGGAACAGAAUUUAUUGUGGUUCAAUUGUAAUACACACACACACGUGUGUGUGUGUGUUUGUACAGGGUC